GACGAACGCUGGCGGCGUGCCUAAUACAUGCAAGUCGUGCGGACCUUUUAAAAGCUUGCUUUUAAAAGGUUAGCGGCGGACGGGUGAGUAACACGUGGGCAACCUGCCUGUAAGACUGGGAUAACGCCGGGAAACCGGGGCUAAUACCAGAUCGUUUUUUCCUCCGCAUGGAGGAAAAAGGAAAGGCGGCUUCGGCUGCCACUUACAGAUGGGCCCGCGGCGCAUUAGCUAGUUGGCGGGGUAACGGCCCACCAAGGCAACGAUGCGUAGCCGACCUGAGAGGGGGAUCGGCCACAUUGGGACUGAGACACGGCCCAAACUCCUACGGGAGGCAGCAGUAGGGAAUCUUCCGCAAUGGACGAAAGUCUGACGGAGCAACGCCGCGUGAGUGAAGAAGGCCUUCGGGUCGUAAAACUCUGUUGCCGGGGAAGAACAAGUGCCGUUCGAACAGGGCGGCGCCUUGACGGUACCCGGCCAGAAAGCCACGGCUAACUACGUG
rnacentral:rRNA from 1 species